GGCAGCAUAGGUGCUUGCACCUGAUGGCGAGUGGCGAACGGGUGAGUAAUGCAUCGGAACGUGCCCAGUCGUGGGGGAUAACGCAGCGAAAGCUGUGCUAAUACCGCAUACGAUCUAUGGAUGAAAGCGGGGGACCUUCGGGCCUCGCGCGAUUGGAGCGGCCGAUGUUAGAUUAGGUAGUUGGUGGGGUAAAGGCUCACCAAGCCGACGAUCUAUAGCUGGUCUGAGAGGACGACCAGCCACACUGGAACUGAGACACGGUCCAGACUCCUACGGGAGGCAGCAGUGGGGAAUUUUGGACAAUGGGCGAAAGCCUGAUCCAGCAAUACCGCGUGCAGGAAGAAGGCCUUCGGGUUGUAAACUGCUUUUGUACGGAACGAAACGGCGUGCUCUAAUAAAGUGCGCUAAUGACGGUACCGUAAGAAUAAGCACCGGCUAACUACGUGCCAGCAGCCGCGGUAAUACGUAGGGUGCAAGCGUUAAUCGGAAUUACUGGGCGUAAAGCGUGCGCAGGCGGUUUUGUAAGACAGGCGUGAAAUCCCCGGGCUCAACCUGGGAAUUGCGCUUGUGACUGCAAGGCUAGAGUACGGUAGAGGGGGGUAGAAUUCCGCGUGUAGCAGUGAAAUGCGUAGAUAUGCGGAGGAACACCGAUGGCGAAGGCAGCCCCCUGGACCUGUACUGACGCUCAUGCACGAAAGCGUGGGGAGCAAACAGGAUUAGAUACCCUGGUAGUCCACGCCCUAAACGAUGUCAACUGGUUGUUGGGAAUUUACUUUCUCAGUAACGAAGCUAACGCGUGAAGUUGACCGCCUGGGGAGUACGGCCGCAAG
rnacentral:rRNA from 1 species